UACGUAGGGGGCAAGCGUUGUCCGGAAUCAUUGGGCGUAAAGAGCGUGUAGGCGGCUAUACAGGUCCGCUGUGAAAACUCGAGGCUCAACCUCGAGACGUCGGUGGAAACCGUAUGGCUAGAGUCCGGAAGAGGAGAGUGGAAUUCCUGGUGUAGCGGUGAAAUGCGCAGAUAUCAGGAAGAACACCCGUGGCGAAGGCGGCUCUCUGGGACGGUACUGACGCUGAGACGCGAAAGCGUGGGAGCGAACAGG
rnacentral:rRNA from 1 species